ensembl:snRNA U6 U6 spliceosomal RNA
GUGCUCGCUUAGGCAGCACAGAUACUAAAAUUGGAAUGAUACAGAGAAGAUUAGCAUGGCCUCUAUACAAGAAUGACACAUAGAUUUGUGAAGUGUUCCAUAUUUUU